UACGGGGGGAGCAAACGUUGUUCGGAAUCACUGGGCGUAAAGGGCGUGUAGGCGGCUGGAUAAGUGGGAUGUUAAAUCCCCCGGCUCAACCGGGGACCUGCAUCUCAUACUGUUCAGCUCGAGCACAUCAGAGGAGACUGGAAUUCCCGGUGUAGCGGUGAAAUGCGUAGAUAUCUGGAGGAACACCGGUGGCGAAGGCGGCAUCCUGGACCGGCAUUGACGCUAAAGCGCGAAAGCCAGGGGAGCAAACGGG
rnacentral:rRNA from 1 species